rnacentral:tRNA from 1 species
UGAUAAAGAAAGGAAUUAAACCAAUGUAAACGGGACUACAGACCGCCGCCUUUCAUUCGGCCACUUUACCU